rnacentral:rRNA from 1 species
GACGAACGCUGGCGGCGUGCUUAACACAUGCAAGUCGAACGGAAAGGCCCUGCUUUUGUGGGGUGCUCGAGUGGCGAACGGGUGAGUAACACGUGAGUAACCUGCCCUUGUCUUUGGGGUAACUUCAGGAAACUGGGGCUAAUACCGUAUAGCAGCUCCUGCUGCAUUGUGGGCGUUGGAAAGUUUCGGCGGUUGGGGAUGGACUCGCGGCUUAUCAGCUUGUUGGUGGGGUAGUGGCUUACCAAGGCUUUGACGGGUAGCCGGCCUGAGAGGGUGACCGGCGACAUUGGGACUGAGGUACGGCCCAGACUCCUACGGGAGGCAGCAGUGGGGAAUAUUGCACAAUGGGCGGAAGCCUGAUGCAGCAACGCCGCGUGCGGGAUGACGGCCUUCGGGUUGUAAACCGCUUUCGCCUGUGACGAAGCGGGAGUGACGGUAAUGGGUAAAGAAGCACCGGCUAACUACGUG